rnacentral:rRNA from 1 species
GAUGAACGCUGGCGGCGUGCCUAAUACAUGCAAGUCGAGCGAACGGACGAGAAGCUUGCUUCUCUGAUGUUAGCGGCGGACGGGUGAGUAACACAUGGAUAACCUACCUAUAAGACUGGGAUAACUUCGGGAAACCGGAGCUAAUACCGGAUAAUAUUUUGAACCGCAUGGUUCAAAAGUAAAAGACGGUCUUGCUGUCACUUAUAGAUGGAUCCGCGCUGCAUUAGCUAGUUGGUAAGGUAACGGCUUACCAAGGCAACGAUGCAUAGCCGACCUGAGAGGGUGAUCGGCCACACUGGAACUGAGACACGGUCCAGACUCCUACGGGAGGCAGCAGUAGGGAAUCUUCCGCAAUGGGCGAAAGCCUGACGGAGCAACGCCGCGUGAGUGAUGAAGGUCUUCGGAUCGUAAAACUCUGUUAUUAGGGAAGAACAUAUGUGUAAGUAACUGUGCACAUCUUGACGGUACCUAAUCAGAAAGCCACGGCUAACUACGUG